rnacentral:rRNA from 1 species
AUUGAACGCUGGCGGCAGGCCUAACACAUGCAAGUAGAGCGGAGCGACGGUCGGGUGAGUAAUGCCUAGAAAUCCGCAUGGGAGUGGGGGAUAACGUCCGGAAACGAGCGCUCAUACCUCAUAAUAACAGAUAAGCCUCGGUCGGAUUAGCUAGUUGUUGGGGUAAAGGCCUACAAAGGCUACGAUCUGUAACUGGUCUGAGCGGAUGAUCAGUCAAACUGGAACUGAGAAACGGUACAGAAUCCUACGGUAGGCAGCAGGGGGGAAUAUUGGACAAUGGGGGAAAGCCUGAUCCAGCAAUGCGGGGUGUGUGAAGAAGGUCUUCGGAUUGUAAAGCACUUUAAGUUGGGAGGCGUUACCAACAGAAUAAGCACCGGCGAACUUCGUGCCAGCAGCCGCGGUAAUAC